GAUGAACGCUGGCGGCAUGCCUAACACAUGCAAGUCGAGCGGACGGACGAUAAGCGUGCUUCUCUGCUGUUAGCGGGGGACGGAUGAGUAACGCAUGCAUCACCUACCUCUAAGACUGGGAUAACUACGGAAGACCACUUCUACUAACGGAUCAUAUUUUCAACCGCUUAGAUCAAAAGUUCAAGACGCUCUUGCUGUCACUUAUAGAUGGUUCCGCGCUGCCUUAGCUAGUUGGUAAGGUAACGGCACACCAAGGCAACGAUGCAUAGCUGACCUGAGAGGAGGAUCGGCCACACUGGAACUGAGACACGGUCCAGACUCCUACGGGAGGCAGCAGUGGGGAAUCUUCCACAAUGGGCGAAAGCCUGACCGAGCCACGCCGCGUGAGUGAAGAAGGUCUUCGGAUCGUAAAACUCUGUUAUUAGGGAAGAAAAUAAGUGGAAGUAACGGUGGACAUCCUGACGGUACCUAAUGAAUAAGCAACGGCUAACUACGUG
rnacentral:rRNA from 1 species